rnacentral:sRNA from 1 species
UCUCGGGCGAAGAGCUACUGCACUUACCCAGGCUUAGGAAGCGGGUGUUUAAGCCAUGGGUUAGAGGGCUCGUAAGCACGCCCGGUCCUUUCCCUGAGGCUAUGAAACGGUGGCUCCACGGACUCCGCUCGGCCGACUGACCUUUCGCCGCCCUGCCCCAGCAGCCGGAGGGUUUCUACCAGUGGAGCCGGGGUCUGGUCUCCACAGCCCAGUAGCCCGCUAGCCCGGCCCCCUCCCGCUAGUCGUAAAGUGCAGUAAAGGCACCAGUAUUUUGCGGCACCGUAGUCUCUCUUCUCCUGAAGUUUGAAAUGCUUUAUCUCAUCGGCUUGGGCCUGGGAGAUGCCAAGGACAUCACAGUCAAGGGCCUGGAAGUUGUUAGACGCUGCAGUCGCGUGUAUCUGGAAGCCUACACCUCAGUCCUGACUGUAGGGCAGGAAGCUUUGGGAUAGAGAAGUUAACAAACUUGCCCAAGUUCAUGCAGAUAGUGAAUGAUAGAGCCAGGAGAUGAACUAAAGCAGUCCUGAGUUGAAGUCUGCCACUCUUUUUAUUAUUAUUAUUAUUUCUUAUUUUUUGUUUUUAUUUUGAGACGGAGUCUCGCUCUGUUGCCCAGGCUGGAAUGCAGUGGUGUGAUCUCGGCCCCCUGCAACCUCUGCCUCUUGGGUUCAAGCAAUUCUUCUGUCACAGCCUUCUGAGUAGCUGGGAUUACUCAGAAGUAGCUGGGAUUACGCAGUAGUAGUGUGCCAUUGUGCCCGGCUAAUUUUUGUAUUUUUAGUAGAGAUGAGAUUUCACCAUGUUGGCCAGGCUGGUCUCGAACUCCUGACCUCAGGUGAUCCACCUGCCUCGUCCUCCAAAGUGCUGUGAUUAUAGGAAGAGUUUUAUGGAAGAAAAUUGAUUCUUGCUGAUAGAGAAGAAGUGGAACAAGAAGCAGAUAAUAUUUUAAAGGAUGCUGAUAUCAGUGAUGUUGCAUUCCUUGUGGUUGGUGAUCCAUUUGGGGCUACAACACACAGUGAUCUUGUUCUAAGAGCAACAAAGCUGGGAAUUCCUCAUAGAGUUAUUCACAAUGCCUCCAUAAUGAAUGCUGUAGGCUGCUGUGGUUUACAGACAUCAAAGUAAAGGAGCAGUCUUUGGAAAAUCUAAUCAAGGGAAGGAAGAUCUAUGAACCUCCACGGUAUAUGAGUGUAAACCAGGCAGCCCAGCAGCUUCUGGAGAUUGUUCAAAAUCAAAGAAUACGAGGAGAAGAACCAGCAAUUACCGAGGAGACACUUUGCGUUGGCUUAGCCAGGGUUGGAGCCGACGACCAGAAAAUUGCAGCAGGCACUUUACAGCAAAUGUGUACUGUGGACUUGGGAGAACCAUUGCAUUCCUUGAUCAUCACAGGAGGCAGCAUACAUCCAAUGGAGAUGGAGAUGCUAAGUCUGUUUUCCAUACCAGAAAAUAGCUCAGAAUCUCAAAGCAUCAAUGGACUUUGAACAUAGAUAUUUACUAUUGUCUGAUGUAAAUUUCAGCCAUAUAUAGAUUGAUAUGGUUUGGCUGUAUCCCCACCCAAGUCUCAUCUUGAAUUUUAAUCCUCAUAAUUCCCAGGUGUUGUGGUAGGUAAUUGAAUCAUGGGGGCAGUUUUCCUCAUGCUAUUCUCAUGAUAGUGAGCUUUCAUGAGAUCUGAUGGUUUUAUAAGCGCCUGGCAUUUCCCCUACUGGCUCUCAUUCUCACUCUUGCCGCGCUGUAAAGAAGUGCCUUCCACCAUGAUUGUUAAGUUUCCUGAGGCCUUCCCAGCCGUGUGGAACUGUGAGUCGAAAAUUAAACCUCUUUUAUAAUUA